rnacentral:rRNA from 1 species
CCUACGGGAGACAGCAGUGGGGAAUAUUGCACAAUGGGGGAAACCCUGAUGCAGCGAAGCAGCGUGAGGGAAGAAGUAUUUCGGUAUGGAAAGCUCUAUCAGCAGGGGAGAAGAAAGACGGUAGCUGACUAAGAAGCACCGGCUAACUACGUGCCAGCAGCCGAGGUAAUACGGAGGGGGCAAGCGUUAUCCGGAUUUACUGGGUGUAAAGGGAGCGUAGAGGGCUGUGUAAGUCUGAAGUGAAAGCCCACGGCUCAACCGUUGGACUGCGUUGGAAACUGUGGGGCUUGAGUGCUGGAGAGGUAAGUGGAAUUCCUAGUGUAGCGGUGAAAUGCGUAGAUAUUACGAGGAACACCAGUGGCGAAGGCAGCUUACUGGACAGCCACUGACGUUGAGGCUCGAAAGCGUGGGUAGCAAACAGGAUUAGAUACCCGAGUAGUC